CCUAAAAUUAAAAAUAUAGAUUCCGUUAUUUUAAGAUUAUGUUAUUAGUAGUAGAAUUUGUAUAUCACAUAUGUUGUUGUUAUAUAUAUUAAUCUGUCUUUUAUCUGCAUUUUACCUCUGCUUUAUCUUGUUUCCUUCUAAUGAACCUGGAACUGCAGAGUAAAUAUUGUUGUCUCUGUGUCAGAUGGCUUGUUUUGUUCCUGGAUUCUUCAGUGAUGAUGAGCAGAGUCUGAGUGAACCUGCUGUCAGACAGGUUGGGCCGAUAGACGAUUCCAUCGUCCAUCGCCGAUGGCUGAUAGACAUCACGAUGCUGCGCCGGCAAACAGCUUCAUGAGCUCCAGUAUCUCGUGCGUGCAUCCGUUGUCAUGCAACAGAGAAGUUGCGUCUAUGGACAGUUGUGAACGAGCUGACAGCUGGUUGCCCAGGCUUUGGGUUAAAGGUGCCACCGGUAUUUGGUCCUGUUGUUUUUUUCUCAAAAACCAGCAGCCGCUGACUUGCAUUUAAGAAUCACCAAGGGCAACGGUUUCACCUAAAACACCUUUACUGUUCUACUGCAAAAACCUUGGAUGACCUGAGGAUCACUAUUGCACACCAAGUAAGCAAAACAACAUUUUUGAUUUCAUUUUAUUUUAUUUCUGCAAACAACUUGCAUCACUUGCAAUUGGUUUUCCAGCCCAAAACCUCGUCAAAAACUGAAUGCAAUGGUUUUUGUCUAUGAUUAUUUUGUCAAAGCAUCUUUUGUCUAUGGUAACUCUAAUCUACAUUAACUAUUUAAUUAGUAUCCAGUUAUUUAUAUUAAAUUUGUGGUGUUAACAACUACUUCUGAACUAAUAAAAUAAUAAACAUAAAUUUUUUUGAGUCAAUUGGCCUCAUACAUUUUCCUUAUGAAAGAGGUCACUGCAAGCUAAUCCUUUUUGCCUCCCUUUAAUUCGAAUACAUCCAUGAACAGGCAGUUUUGAAAAGUGCUUUGAAUAUAGGGGAAAUAUGAUCUAGCCUACAACACUACUGCUCCUACUGCACUACUGAAUUAGUUCAAGUAUAUGUUCUGUUUAACUUAAAUGCUAUAUUUUUUUUGCAUUGUGAUUUUAUCUUCUGUUUUAGAUACUUUUACUCAGCAGAUGGGGACAGCUACCAUCACCCAAUUUUCACCCAAAAGUGGCUGCGCUAUGCGCCAGACAGGGGCAGGAGGGACUGGGCGACAACUUAUGCAGGCAUCAGAUGACAGUGAAGUGUAAAUAAAGAGU